GACGAACGCUGGCGGCGUGCUUAACACAUGCAAGUCGAACGGAAAGGCCCUGCUUUUGUGGGGUGCUCGAGUGGCGAACGGGUGAGUAACACGUGAGUAACCUGCCCUUGACUUUGGGAUAACUUCAGGAAACUGGGGCUAAUACCGUAUAGGAGCUCCUGCUGCAUGGUGGGGGUUGGAAAGUCUCGGCGGUUGGGGAUGGACUCGCGGCUUAUCAGCUUGUUGGUGGGGUAGUGGCUUACCAAGGCUUUGACGGGUAGCCGGCCUGAGAGGGUGACCGGCCACAUGGGGACUGAGAUACGGACCAGACUCCUACGGGAGGCAGCAGUGGGGAAUAUUGCACAAUGGGCGGGAGCCUGAUGCGGCAACGCCGCGUGCGGGAUGACGGCCUUCGGGUUGUAAACCGCUUUCGCCUGUGACGAAGCGGGAGUGACGGUAAUGGGUAAAGAAGCACCGGCUAACUACGUG
rnacentral:rRNA from 1 species